GGAGAGAUGGCAGAGCGGUUGAAUGCACCGGUCUUGAAAACCGGCGUAGGUUAAUAGCCUACCCAGGGUUCGAAUCCCUGUCUCUCCGCCA
rnacentral:tRNA from 2 species